AGAGAUGUGUGAUGACGCAUAUCAAUAAGCGGAGGAAAAGAAACUAACAAGGAUUCCCUUAGUAACGGCGAGUGAAGCGGGAAGAGCUCAAAUUUGAAAUCUUCAAGGUUCUACCUUGACGAAUUGUAGUUUAUAGAAGUGUUUUCUGUUAGUGGAGUGGCAAAAGUUCUUUGGAAUAGGACAUCAUAGAGGGUGAGAAUCCCGUAUUUGGUCAUUCCUCCUAGCGUUGUGAUACACUUUCAACGAGUCGGAUUGUUUGGGAAUGCAGUCCAAAAUGGGUGGUAAAUUUCAUCUAAAGCUAAAUAUUGGCGAGAGACCGAUAGCGAACAAGUACCGUGAGGGAAAGAUGAAAAGAACUUUGAAAAGAGAGUUAAACAGUACGUGAAAUUGUCAAAAGGGAAGCGUUUGACACCAGUGUUGUUUUUCCGAAAGUCAAUUACGAAUGUUUUGUUUUUGAAGAAGUUAUGACUUCAUCGGCUUGCUUCUUUCUUUACGAAACUUUCUUAAUGCACUUUUCGGUUAACAAGUCAACAUCAAUUUCUUUUGUUGUAAAAGGGUAUGAGGAAGGUGGCUUUCUUUUCGGAGAAAGUGUUUAUAGCCUUGUGCCUCUGCAAUCGGAGAGAUUGAGGUCUGCAGCGUAGAUCCUUCGGGGUUAGAUACGUUUGUGCUAAGUUAUAGCUUUUCAUAGACAACUUGUUGACUAUGUUUAGUCUUGUAGCUUACUCGCUGAUGCUAUUUUACCUACGCUUAGGAUGUUGACGAUCAGCUGAGCGCG
rnacentral:rRNA from 1 species